rnacentral:rRNA from 1 species
UACGUAGGGUGCAAGCGUUAAUCGGAAUUACUGGGCGUAAAGCGUGCGCAGGCGUCUUGCAAGACAGAUGUGAAAUCCCCGGGCUCAACCUGGGAAUUGCGAUGGAGACUGCAAGGCUAGAAUCUGGCAGAGGGGGGUAGAAUUCCACGUGUAGCAGUGAAAUGCGUAGAGAUGUGGAGGAACACCGGAUGGCGCAAGGCAGCCCCCUGGGUCGAAGAUUGACGCUCAUGCA